AAAAACUUAGGCUGUUAAAAGUACUCAUUCAUUUGCAAUCAGGAACUCGAGAACAUAUGACUACAUAACAAUAAAUCACAAUUUAACCCAAUACUUGUAAUAAUAUACAGAUCCACAAGAAUAUUUAAACAAUUUCAGCUGCAAACUCUACAUCAGAAAGUAAAUAAAAAAUACCGCACCAGAAUAUAAGAAAGAGCAUGACAAUCCUUUAUUUUUUG
rnacentral:lncRNA from 1 species